AGGACGAACGCUGGCGGCGUGCUUAACACAUGCAAGUCGAACGGAAAGGCCCGCUUGCGGGUACUCGAGUGGCGAACGGGUGAGUAACACGUGGGCAACCUGCCCUCAGCUUCGGGAUAACACUUGGAAACAGGUGCUAAUACCGGAUAAUAACCUUUCAUCGCAUGGUGUGGGGUUCAAAGUUUUUCGGCUGGGGAUGGGCCCGCGGCCUAUCAGCUUGUUGGUGGGGUAAUGGCCUACCAAGGCGACGACGGGUAGCCGGCCUGAGAGGGCGACCGGCCACACUGGGACUGAGACACGGCCCAGACUCCUACGGGAGGCAGCAGUGGGAAUAUUGCGCAAUGGGCGGAAGCCUGACGCAGCGACGCCGCGUGAGGGAUGACGGCCUUCGGGUUGUAAACCGUCUUUCAGCUCUGACGAAGCGCAAGUGACGGUAGGAGCAGAAGAAGCACCGGCCAACGUACGUGCCAGCAGCCGC
rnacentral:rRNA from 1 species